AGUAUGCUUAAACCAAGAGGGUAAUUGUCUUUUAAAUCUCCCUGCAAACCCCCGUGGAUACCUGGACGGUGGCAGGAUGUGUCGGUGCUGGGCCUCGAGGAUCUGCUGCUGGAGGAGGUAUUGCUGGUGUAAUGCCUGAGACAAAGCGGACUGGAUCAGAACAGAUGAAAUCUACCAGGAUAGGUUCUUCAAAGCAGUUCUUGUAAAUUCUGCAGCUGACAGUGGGUCAGUGCACUCGGUAAAACCUUUAGUACCUGGCUGUCUAUGAGAUAUAUAUAAACUGUUAAAGUGCCAAGUCUAUCUAUAUAACCAUAAAGAACAAUUAUUUCCCUCUUAGAAGUUAAACCAGACAAUGAAUUCACUAUCAUGCAUCUGUGCUUCACUGAAACCUCCUGUAUCUUUGUGUCUUACACACACAGUACAGCACUUCUUGUUCUUCUCCCAUGUGAACAUUCAGGAGUCGAGAGGAAAUAGCUCGAAUGCUUUUUUUUACUCUCUCCAACCACAGCUAUUUGGCAACUGCAGCAAGCAGACUGCUGUAGAGACUCAGUUGGGAAAAAAAAGGCAGUCUGACUUGUGCUGUGGAGCAAUAUGGUUUUAAUGCCCAACUUAAGCUUAAAAAGACGGUUUUGAUUAAUGGAAAGGUUGGGAAAUUGCAACAUCAAAUUUAGCUUUGAAUUAAAACUUUUCAGGAAAUGCUGGGCCAAAAGAAGCCAUGCUAGGCCUGCAGUGGAGCAGGAUUUGAUAUUCUGUGUGUCGUUACGUCCAUCUGGCAGAAACUGAAGCAGUGAAUUUCAAAUCUUCCAUUUCAGAGAUUCAAGUUGUGCAGUUCUUAAAGAAGAUAGAAAUAAAAUCCAGUGUGAGGUUUUAGUUUAAUCUGAUUUUUUUAAAGUGUAUAAAGACAUGACAAAUUCUGAUGUAAACAGUGAAAAUCUUUUUUUAAAAAUCAUGAGGAAAUAGGCAAAGUCUACAUUGCAUUUACUAGGAGUACGCUUGAAAAACGCAGUAUGGUUUUAAACACACUCAGGAAAGAUAAGCAGUAUGACUUUCCAGCAUUAUUUUCAGCUUGACAAGUCGUCAGCGCAGCCGGGCGGACAAGAGAUGACCUUGCAGCCGUGGGUCAAAGGCUCAAGUCUAGACUGUGAGUAGCACACUGCGUUUUCAAGCGUCUCAGUGAGAACGAUCACCAUGAAUGACAGCAGAUAGACUCAUUCAGGCCCUGUGAUGGAGGAAGCGUGGAAAUUGUCUAUCUUUGUCACAGCAGGAGAGGAGGUGGGUGGGGGAAGGGGGGUGGAGGGGGGGGGCAGGUAGGGACAAGGGAGAGGGAGGACAAUAAAUGGAAAUCAGCAAGAAGCACACUGAAGGUUAGGAAAAACACUAUAUUCUUUAUUGAAAAAUAUUAGUAUAUGUGGAAUUUGUGUUUUCUUUGUUUGUUUGUAAUAAUAGUAUAAAUCCAUGCAACAAAAAUAAACAACAUAGACUGAAGGCAAGGCCCACCAUGCUCCAUAUAGGGUUAAAAAGAACAAAAGCGGCAUCCAAUGAGCAGACGUGUUGGCUACAGCACAUGAUUCCAGUACAGCAGGGUACAUCUUUACUACAGAAAGAUUACAUUGGAUUUUCACUAGUCAAUGUAGAAAACCAAAAACCAAAAAUUAUGAAUCAUAAAAUGUGACCAUGCAUUGAAAGUACUAUUACCAGAACAAAAGGUAAAGAGAGACCACAACCAAACAAUAAAAAGACGUUAUUACUAAUAGAGGAUCUCUUUAGCAGUGCAGGAAAAUAGGCAUCCCUGUGAAAUGGAUAGCAUUUUGGCCUCAUGUUAGUGGGGAAAAUUGGGAAGUGAUGAACCACCAGUGAUCAUGUUUUGCUUACUUUUUUUUCCCUUUCUUUUUAUAAUUUCAUUUGCUCACGAGGAGCAAACAGCCCUGACAAUUCAGUGUGAUUCGAAGCUUGAAAAUUUGCAAAGGGAACAAAAGGAUUACACAAAAAUGGAGACAGUUAUGGCAGGUUGUUGUGUGCAGGUGCAGUGUACCUUCAAGUCAUUUCAAGUGAUAGCAUGACAGCGUUUGCUGAAAUGCAAAGUUUAAGUAAAUGAAAAAAAAACUGCAUGCAUGUGGUGCCAAUUAGCAUGCUUAUUUUCUUUUUCAAUUAUGGGUCACUUUAAAUCAUGUACAUUGCACCUUGUGUGAAGAGAAGGAAGAUGAGCCAAAUUCUGGUGUUCAACAAUGCAGUGCAGUAUUUAAGAUCAUGCAAAAUGUAUCCACUUUACAGGAAUUUACAGCAUGUUGUCUAUCAAGACUGGAUGGGAGGUACACAAUGACAUUCAACUGAUAUCUAAUAAAAAGGAGCUAUAAAUGUUUACUCAGUGCUACAGCAAUUUGACAGAAAAAAGACAAAAAAGGUGCUCUGGUCUAGGUGUUAGCUAUUGUUUUUUUGUUUUUUUUUAGUCUGCUUAACAUGGAAAAAAAGUCUAUGAAUACAUCUCGGGAAAGGGGGUGCUUUUUUUAAUACCAAUGUCGUCUUCUGAUGGAAAGAGGAAAUGAAGAAGGGAUU